AUUGAACGCUGGCGGCAUGCCUUACACAUGCAAGUCGAAGGGCAGCGCGGACUUCGGUCUGGCGGCGAGUGGCGAACGGGUGAGUAAUACAUCGGAACGUACCCUGUUGUGGGGGAUAACUAGUCGAAAGAUUAGCUAAUACCGCAUACGACCUGAGGGUGAAAGUGGGGGACCGCAAGGCCUCACGCAGCAGGAGCGGCCGAUGUCUGAUUAGCUAGUUGGUGGGGUAAAGGCCCACCAAGGCGACGAUCAGUAGCUGGUCUGAGAGGACGAUCAGCCACACUGGGACUGCGACACGGCCCAGACUCCGACGGGAGGCAGCAGUGGGGAAUGUUGGACAAUGGGGGCAACCCUGACCCAGCAAUGCCGCGUGUGUGAAGAAGGCCUUCGGGUUGUAAAGCACUUUUGUCCGGAAAGAAAUCGCGCUGGUUAAUACCUGGCGUGGAUGACGGUACCGGAAGAAUAAGCACCGGCUAACUACGUGCCAGCCGCCGCCGUAA
rnacentral:rRNA from 1 species